rnacentral:rRNA from 1 species
GUCCACGCCCUAAACGAUGUCAACUAGGUGUUGGGUGGGUAAAACCAUUUAGUACCGUAGCUAACGCGAGAAGUUGACCGCCUGGGGAGUACGGCCGCAAGGUUAAAACUCAAAGGAAUUGACGGGGACCCGCACAAGCGGUGGAUGAUGUGGAUUAAUUCGAUGCAACGCGAAAACCUUACCUACCCUUGACAUGUCCAGAAGCCCCGAAGAGAUUUUGGGUGUGCUCGAAAGAGAGCUGGAACACAGGUGCUGCAUGGCUGUCGU